AUGCACGCUGGCGGCGUGCCUCAUACAUGCAAGUCGAGCGAACAGACGAGGAGCUUGCUCCUCUGACGUUAGCGGCGGACGGGUAAGUAACACGUGGAUAACCUACCUAUAAGACUGGGAUAACUUCGGGAAACCGGAGCUAAUACCGGAUAAUAUAUUGAACCGCAUGGUUCAAUAGUGAAAGACGGUUUUGCUGUCACUUAUAGAUGGAUCCGCGCCGCAUUAGCUAGUUGGUAAGGUAACGGCUUACCAAGGCAACGAUGCGUAGCCGACCUGAGAGGGUGAUCGGCCACACUGGAACUGAGACACGGUCCAGACUCCUACGGGAGGCAGCAGUAGGGAAUCUUCCGCAAUGGGCGAAAGCCUGACGGAGCAACGCCGCGUGAGUGAUGAAGGUCUUCGGAUCGUAAAACUCUGUUAUUAGGGAAGAACAAAUGUGUAAGUAACUAUGCACGUCUUGACGGUACCUAAUCAGAAAGCCACGGCUAACUACGUG
rnacentral:rRNA from 1 species